CUCUGUUGAAAUUGAAGCUAUUCAAAAUGUCUAAGUUUUCUUUCAUACCAAUUCUUGUCAUUUUCUUUAUUUUGUCAGUUGUAACAAUAACAUGUGAAGCAGAUCAAUUAUGUACCACUCCUCGUAAAGGUGACUGUUUCCUUGCUGGAUGUCGACAAUGGUGCUCUCAAACUUAUAAUGGCAACGGACAUUGCGAGGCCUAUGGAAACCCUUCUAGUCCUAAAUAUAAAUGUAUUUGCAUACAUAAAUGUUAAAUCUAUAACAAAUAUAACACAAAUGCUCAAUUUAAAUGUAACAGCGCAUCAAAUAAAUUUAAUAAAAUUAUGAGACUUAUUCUAAUAUGUGAGAUUUGUUUCUGUAUUAAAAAGUUUGAAUUA